GGACACUCGAGUAGCCCAACAGAGAGAUCCAUCUGGUGAGAUACUGAAGAAUCAACUAGACAGCCAUGUGGGUGCGCCAUCUUCUAAACAGAUCCUCCAGCCCCAGAUGAGCCUGCAUGUGACUGCAGUCUUGGCUGACAUCUUGACAACAACCUCAUGAGAGACCCUGAGCCAGAACCACUCACCUCAGUCUCCCUUGAGCUCAUGGCCUACCGGGUAUUGUUGCCUUCAGCUGCUAAAUUUUGAGGGCUAUACCUACUGGCUUACUUCUGAUUGCUUUGCCACUUACUAGUCGUGUCAUCUUCUUCAAUAUGUCUUUGUUCAAUGACUGAACGACUGAAUGAACACAUGACGAGAAAGAGACUUUUGAACCUGUGGAGUCCAGAGGCUGUGAAAUGCAGAGAUGUGCAACCCCAGGACAAGUGGCUCAGACCAUUUAUCUAUCAGAGGAUUCAUGGAAAGGACUCAGUGUUUACCAGGAUACUUCCAAGGUGCCCUAUCCGUAUAGAGUGGAACUUUAAAACCGGAGAAAAAGUCCAACGAAAUAAGUCAAGUGGAAUAUGUUGUCUUCUACCAUAUUUAGGCAGAGAUCUUGACUAAUUAAUCUUCAAAGAAGUGAAAAUAAUCUACUCUUGAACUUAAUUAUGCAAAUAAAACAAUUCUAAUUUCGGAAA
rnacentral:lncRNA from 1 species